UACGUAUGGAGCAAGCGUUAUCCGGAUUUACUGGGUGUAAAGGGUGCGUAGGUGGCAGUGCAAGUCAGAUGUGAAAGGCCGGGGCUCAACCCCGGAGCUGCAUUUGAAACUGCAUAGCUGGAGUACAGGAGAGGUAGGCGGAAUUCCUAGUGUAGCGGUGAAAUGCGUAGAUAUUAGGAGGAACACCAGUGGCGAAGGCGGCCUGCUGGACUGUUACUGACACUGAGGCACGAAAGCGUGGGGAGCAAACAGG
rnacentral:rRNA from 1 species